GCUCGAUACUGACACUGAGGUGCGAAAGCGUGGGAGCAAACGGGAUUAGAUACCCCGGUAGUCCACGCCGUAAACGAUGUCUACUAGCCGUUGGAGGACUUGAUCCUUUAGUGGCGCAGCUAACGCGAUAAGUAGACCGCCUGGGGAGUACGGUCGCAAGAUUAAAACUCAAAUGAAUUGACGGGGGCCCGCACAAGCGGUGGAGCAUGUGGUUUAAUUCGAAGCAACGCGAAGAACCUUACCUACUCUUGACAUCCAGUGAACUUUUGAGAGAUCAAUUGGUGCCUUCGGGAACACUGAGACAGGUGCUGCAUGGCUGUCGUCAGCUCGUGUUGUGAAAUGUUGGGUUAAGUCCCGUAACGAGCGCAACCCUUGUCCUUAGUUACCAUCAUUAAGUUGGGGACUCUAAGGAGACUGCCGGUGACAAACCGGAGGAAGGCGGGGACGACGUCAAGUCAUCAUGGCCCUUACGAGUAGGGCUACACACGUGCUACAAUGGCAUGUACAAAGGGUUGCCAGGCCGCGAGGUGGAGCUAAUCCCAUAAAGCAUGUCGUAGUCCGGAUUGGAGUCUGCAACUCGACUCCAUGAAGUCGGAAUCGCUAGUAAUCGUGAAUCAGAAUGUCACGGUGAAUACGUUCCCGGGCCUUGUACACACCGCCCGUCACACCAUGGGAGUGGGUUGCUCCAGAAGUAGAUAGCUUAACCUUCGGGAGGGCGUUUACCACGGAGUGAUUCAUGACUGGGGUGAAGUCGUAACAAGGUAACCGUA
rnacentral:rRNA from 1 species